rnacentral:rRNA from 1 species
AUUGAACGCUGGCGGCAUGCCUAACACAUGCAAGUCGAGCGGAUGAAGGGAGCUUGCUCCUGGAUUCAGCGGCGGACGGGUGAGUAAUGCCUAGGAAUCUGCCUGGUAGUGGGGGAUAACGUCCGGAAACGGGCGCUAAUACCGCAUACGUCCUGAGGGAGAAAGUGGGGGAUCUUCAGACCUCACGCUAUCAGAUGAGCCUAGGUCGGAUUAGCUAGUUGGUGGGGUAAAGGCCUACCAAGGCGACGAUCCGUAACUGGUCUGAGAGGAUGAUCAGUCACACUGGAACUGAGACACGGUCCAGACUCCUACGGGAGGCAGCAGUGGGGAAUAUUGGACAAUGGGCGAAAGCCUGAUCCAGCCAUGCCGCGUGUGUGAAGAAGGUCUUCGGAUUGUAAAGCACUUUUAGUUGGGAGGAAGGGCAGUAAGUUAAUACCUUGCUGUUUUGACGUUACCAACAGAAUAAGCACCGGCUAACUUCGUG